rnacentral:lncRNA from 1 species
ACACGGUCUCCCUCUGAUGCCGAGCCAAAGCUGGACUGUACUGCUGCCAUCUCGGCUCACUGCAACCUCCCUGCCUGAUUCUCCUGCCUCAGCCUGCCAAGUGCCUGCGAUUGCAGGCGCGCGCCGCCACGCCUGACUGGUUUUCGUAUUUUUUUGGUGGAGACGGGAUUUCGCUGUGUUGGCCAGGCUGGUCUCCAGCUCCUAACCGCGAGUGAUCUGCCAGCCUCGGCCUCCCGAGGUGCAGGGAUUGCAAACGGAGCCUCGUUCACUCAGUGCUCAAUGGUGCCCAGGCUGGAGUGCAGUGGCGUGAUCUUGGCUCGCUACAACCUCCACCUCCCAGCCGCCUGCCUUGGCCUCCCAAAGUGCUGAGUGCAGCCUCUGCCCGGCCGCCACCCCGUCUGGGAAGUGAGGAGCGUCUCUGCCUGGCUGCCCAUCGUCUGGGACGUGAGGAGCCCCUCUGCCUGGCUGCCCAGUCUGGAAAGUGAGGAGCGUCUCUGCCCGGCCGCCAUCCCAUCUAGGAAGUGAGGAGCGCCUCCUCCCUGCCGCCAUCCCAUCUAGGAAGUGAGGAGCGUCUCUGCCCGGCCUCCCAUCCUCUGAGAUGUGGGGAGCGCCUCUGCCCCGCCGCCCGGUCUGCAAUGUGAGGAGCGCCUCUGCCUGGCCGCGACCCCGUCUGGGAGGUGAGGAGCGUCUCUGCCCGGCCGCCCCGUCUGAGAAGUGAGGAGACCCUCCGCCUGGCAACCGCCCCGUCUGAGAAGUGAGGAGCGCCUCCGGCCGGCAGCCACCCCAUCUGGGAAGUGAGGAGCGUCUCCGCCCGGCAGCCACCCCGUCCGGGAGGGAGGUGGGGGUCAGCCCCCGCCAGGCCAGCUGCCCCGUCUGGGAGGGAGGUGGGGGGGUCAGCCCCCCGCCCGGCCAGCCACCCCGUCCGGGAGGUGAGGGGCGCCUCUGCCCAGCCGCCCCUACUGGGAAGUGAGGAGCCCCUCUGCCCGGCCAGCCGCCCCGUCCGGGAGGGAGGUGGGCGGGUCAGCCCCCCGCCCAGCCAGCCGCCCUGUCCGAGAGGGAGGUGGGGGGGGUCAGCCCCCCGCCUGGCCAGCCGCCCCGUCUGGGAGGGAGGUGGGGGGGGUCAGCCCCCCGCCCGGCCAGCCGCCUUGUCUGGGAGGUGAGGGGCGCCUCUGCCCGGCCGCCCCUACUGGGAAGUGAGGAGCCCCUCUGCCCCACCAGCCGCCCCGUCUAGGAGGGAGGUGGGGGGGUCAGUCCCCCGCCCGGCCAGCCGCCCCAUCCGGGAGGGAGGUGGGGGGUCAGCCCCCCGCCCGGCCAGCCGCCCAGUCCGGGAGGUGAGGGGCGCCUCUUCCCGGCCGCCCCUACUGGGAAGUGAGGAGCCCCUCUGCCCGGCCACCACCCCAUCUGGGAGGUGUACCCAACAGCUCAUUGAGAACGGGCCAUGAUGACAAUGGUGGUUUUGUGGAAUAGAAAGGGGGGAAAGGUGGGGAAAAGAUUGAGAAAUCGGAUGGUUGCCGUGUCUGUGUAGAAAGAAGUAGACAUGGGAGACUUUUCAUUUUGUUCUGUACUAAGAAAAAUUCUUCUGCCUUGGGAUCCUGUUGAUCUGUGACCUUACCCCCAACCCUGUGCUCUCUGAAACAUGUGCUGUGUCCACUCAGGGUUACAUGGAUUAAAGGCGGUGCAAGAUGUGCUUUGUUAAACAGAUGCUUGAAGUCAGCAUGCUCGUUAAGAGUCAUCACCACUCCCUAAUCUCAAGUACCCAGGGACACAAACACUGCGGAAGGCCGC